AUUGAACGCUGGCGGCAGGCCUAACACAUGCAAGUCGAACGAGUGGCGGACGGGUGAGUAAUGUCUGGGAAACUGCCUGAUGGAGGGGGCUAACUACUGGAAACGGUAGCUAAUACCGCAUACCAUCGGAUGUGCCCAGAUGGGAUUAGCUAGUAGGUGGGGUAAAGGCUCACCUAGGCGACGAUCCCUAGCUGGUCGGAGAGGAUGACCAGCCGCACUGGAACUUAGACACGGUCCGGACUCCUACGGGAGGCAGCAGUGGGUAAUAUUGUACAAUGGGCGCAAGCCUGAUGCAGCCAUGCCGUGUGUAUGAGUAAGGCCUGCGGGUUGUAAAGUACGUUCAGCGGGGAGGCGUUACCCGCAGAAGAAGCACCGGCUAACUCCGUGCCAGCAGCCGCGGUAAUAG
rnacentral:rRNA from 1 species